UACGUAGGGUGCAAGCGUUGUCCGGAAUUAUUGGGCGUAAAGAGCUCGUAGGCGGUUUGUCGCGUCUGGUGUGAAAAUCCAGGGCUUAACCCUGGACCUGCAUCGGGUACGGGCAGACUAGAGUGCGGUAGGGGAGACUGGAAUUCCUGGUGUAGCGGUGGAAUGCGCAGAGUAUCAGGAGGAACACCGGUGGCGAAGGCGGGUCUCUGGGCAGUAACUGACGCUGAGGAGCGAAAGCGUGGGGAGCGAACAGG
rnacentral:rRNA from 1 species